rnacentral:rRNA from 1 species
UGUUAUAUUAAUAAUAUAUAAUAGAACCUGCUCAAUGAAAAUUAAAUAGCCGCAGUAGCCUGACUGUGCUAAGGUAGCAUAAUCAUUAGUUUUUUAAUUGAAGACUGGCAUGAAUGGUAAUUACUAAGAAGAAAGUCUUUUCCGUAUUAAUUGAAUUUAAAUUGAAGAUAAAAAUGUUUUCAUAAAAGUUUGGGACGAGAAGACCCUAGAAAUUUAUAUAUUGACUAUUUUAAUUGGGGUGAUUAAUGAAAAAAUAAACUUUAUUAUUAAAUGUAAAAAUUACUCUAGGGAUAACAGCAUAAUUUAAUUAAAAAGUUCUUAUUAACAAUUAAGUUUAUGACCUCGAUGUUGAAUUAAAAUUAACUUUUAGGUGCAGAGGCUAAAAAGUUCAGUCUGUUCGACUGAUAGAAUUUUACA